CCUACGGGUGGCAGCAGUGAGGAAUAUUGGUCAAUGGACGAGAGUCUGAACCAGCCAAGCAGCGUGAAGGAUGACUGUCCUAUGGGUUGUAAACUUCUUUUAUAUGGGAAUAAAAUGUUCCACGUGUGGGAUUUUGUGUGUACCAUACGAAUAAGGAUCGGCUAACUCCGUGCCAGCAGCCGCGGUAAUACGGAGGAUCCGAGCGUUAUCCGGAUUUAUUGGGUUUAAAGGGGGCGUAGGUGGGUUGUUAAGUCAGUUGUGAAAGUUUGGGGGUCAACCGUAAGAUUGCAGUUGAAACUGGCAGUCUUGAGUACAAUAGAGGUAGGCGGAAUUCGUGGUGUAGCGGUGAAAUGCUUAGAUAUCACGAAGAACUCCGAUUGCGAAGGCAGUUCACUGGACUGAAACUGACACUGAGGCACGAAAGUGUGGGUAUCAAACAGGAUUAGAUACCCCAGUAGUC
rnacentral:rRNA from 1 species